UACGUAGGGUGCAAGCGUUGUCCGGAAUUAUUGGGCGUAAAGAGCUCGUAGGCGGUUUGUCGCGUCUGGUGUGAAAAUCCAGGGCUUAACCCUGGACCUGCAUCGGAUACGAGCAGACUAGAGUGUUGCAGGGGAGACUGGAAUUCCUGGUGUAGCGGUGAAAUGCGCAGAUAUCAGGAGGAACACCGGUGGCGAAGGCGGGUCUCUGGGCAACAACUGACGCUGAGGAGCGAAAGCGUGGGGAGCGAACAGG
rnacentral:rRNA from 1 species